rnacentral:rRNA from 1 species
GAUGAACGCUAGCUACAGGCUUAACACAUGCAAGUCGAGGGGUAACAAGAGAAAAGCUUGCUUUUCUUGUUGACGACCGGCGCACGGGUGAGUAACGCGUAUCCAACCUGCCUAUAACUAGGGAAUAACCUUGCGAAAGUAAGACUAAUGCCCUAUGACUUCCUUUGGCGGCAUCAAAAGAGGAAUAAAGAUUUAUCGGUUAUAGAUGGGGAUGCGUCUGAUUAGCUUGUUGGCGGGGUAACGGCCCACCAAGGCAACGAUCAGUAGGGGUUCUGAGAGGAAGGUCCCCCACAUUGGAACUGAGACACGGUCCAAACUCCUACGGGAGGCAGCAGUGAGGAAUAUUGGUCAAUGGGCGGAAGCCUGAACCAGCCAAGUAGCGUGCAGGAUGACGGCCCUAUGGGUUGUAAACUGCUUUUAUACAGGGAUAAAGUUAGCCACGUGUGGUUAUUUGCAGGUACUGUAUGAAUAAGGACCGGCUAAUUCCGUGCCAGCCGCCGCAGUAA